AAUCACAACCUCUCUAGAGGAGGCUAUGUGCGUAUUGAAGAGAUGUUAAUGGAACAAAGUGGGAAAAGUCUGACUGAACUUGAUAGGGCAGAUUUAUGGAGCAUGGGUCGUCGGAAUGCAAAAGGAGAGCUAAUUGGAGAGGCCUCUGAGAUUCAAAAAAUAUUGAUCAUUACCGGCAACUCCAAGCUGAGGGUAAAUGGGCACCUGAUGGCCCUGAUGAUGUGCUGACGAGGGCGUUGGGCACUCCUGAGCCUCGAGGACGUGUUAGGGCUGGAGGACACGGUGUGUCCCGCUCAGUAUAUAGGAAUACUCCAACACCUACCUCAACGAAAAAUAAAUCAAAAGCCUCUUCUUCGAAUGACGACAUCAGAAAGGAAUUUGAAGAAAGAUUUCGAAAACAAGAAGAAGAGCAUCGUCAACAAGCACAACGCCUAGAAGAGCGCCUUCAACAACAAGAUGAGCUCUUGAGAAAAUUAUUGGACCAACAGAGCGGGUCAGGAUCUAACGUUGGAGUCCCACCAGCGCCAUCAUCAUACUAUGUGCCCGACCCACCAGUGCCACCAGCGCAGGCGUCCUACUAUACUCCGGACCCAGUAGUGCCUCAAGCAGAACACCACAUUGUUGCACUACAACCGCUUUUGCAAGAGGGCCGAGCAUGCCAAUUAGCAAUUGGUUCGGUUUCAAACAUUGUUGCAUCAGGUACACUCAUUGAAAGAGAGGCAGGCAACAACUUCCAAGUUAUGAUUACGAGUGUUCUUAAGCCAAC